GACGAACGCUGGCGGCGUGCUUAACACAUGCAAGUCGAACGGAAAGGCCCUGCUUUUGUGGGGUGCUCGAGUGGCGAACGGGUGAGUAAAACGUGAGUAACCUGCCCUUGACUUUGGGAUAACUUCAGGAAACUGGGGCUAAUACCGGAUAGGAGCUCCUGCUGCAUGGGGGGGGUUGGAAAGUUUCGGCGGUUGGGGAUGGACUCGCGGCUUAUCAGCUUGUUGGUGGGGUAGUGGCUUACCAAGGCUUUGACGGGUAGCCGGCCUGAGAGGGUGACCGGCGACAUUGGGACUGAGAGACGGCCCAGACUGCUACGGGAGGCAGAAGGGGGGAAUAUUGCACAAUGGGCGGAAGCCUGAUGCAGCAACGCCGCGUGCGGGAUGACGGCCUUCGGGUUGUAAACCGCUUUCGCCUGUGACGAAGCGUGAGUGACGGUAAUGGGUAAAGAAGCACCGGCUAACUACGUG
rnacentral:rRNA from 1 species